GAUGAAGACGUAGCGAAAUGCGAUACUUGGUGUGAAUUGCAGAAUCCCGUGAACCAUCGAGUCUUUGAACGCAAGUUGCGCCCGAAGCCACUAGGCCGAGGGCACGCCUGCCUGGGCGUCACACGCCGUUGCCCCCCCAUCUACUCCUUCGGGAUUGCGGGGGGGCGGAUGAUGGCCUCCCGUGCGCCUAGCCGCGCGGUUGGCAUAAAUACCAAGUCCUCGGCGACGCACGCCACGACAAUCGGUGGUUGCGAAACCUCGGUUGCCCGUCGUGUGCGUUCGUCGCGCAUCGAGGGCUCGAAAAAAUGCUCGGCUCCGGCUGGGCUUUCAACGCGACCCCAGGUCAGGCGGGGUUACCCGCUGAAUUUAAGCAUAUCAAUAAGCGGAGGA
rnacentral:misc_RNA from 1 species